rnacentral:rRNA from 1 species
AACGAACGCUGGCGGCAUGCCUAACACAUGCAAGUCGAACGAGACCUUCGGGUCUAGUGGCGCACGGGUGCGUAACGCGUGGGAACCUGCCCUUAGGUUCGGAAUAACUCCCCGAAAGGGGUGCUAAUACCGGAUAAUGUCUUCGGACCAAAGAUUUAUCGCCUUUGGAUGGGCCCGCGUUGGAUUAGCUAGUUGGUAGUGUAAAAGCCUACCAAGGCGACGAUCCAUAGCUGGUCUGAGAGGAUGAUCAGCCACACUGGGACUGAGACACGGCCCAGACUCCUACGGGAGGCAGCAGUGGGGAAUAUUGGACAAUGGGCGAAAGCAUGAUACAGCAAUGCCGCGUGAGUGAUGAAGGCCUUAGGGUUGUAAAGCUCUUUUACCCGGGAUGAUACUGACAGUACCGGGAGAAUAAGCUCCGGCUAACUCCGUG